rnacentral:lncRNA from 1 species
GGAAGCUCCAGCAGCUGGCCGUUUCCCGGCCGACAGGGAGGCGAGGGAGCACCCGGACCGCUGCCCUCUCUCCUUAGGGCGGAUGCUUUGCUGCACAUCUUGUUCGGGCGUGAAAACAUUGUCUGGGAAGCCAGAAGAGAAAACCAGAAGUAGCCAGAGGAGGAAGAAUUCAUUGAUAUGUGGAGAUUUAAUCAUCACUGUGGAAAACUGAAUUACUGUUCUCAAUUCUUCACAGCGUUCAAAGAGAAUUAUUCAUCAACACCCUCGCCACGGCCUCAUGGUGGGUGGAGUAUACUUCCUGCCCCUUAACUUUGGGUUUGGCCAAAGAGAAUAUUAGUGGAUGGGACAUGACAGAGGCUUGAAAAGAGCCUGUGCAUCCAGGCUGCUCUUAUUGCACUUCAGUGGUCUACCAUGAGAAGAACUUCCUCCGGGCAGCUGUUGCUCCUUCAGCCUGGGCCCCAGAGUAAACACACAUGCCAACAGCCCAGUCUACAGUCUGGAGCCAAGUAUAGCUGAGCUGCAGCCUGAAACAGAGCUCCCCAGCCUAGCCCAGACUAAACCAGCCAAACCACAAUCCAUCUUGCAGACUCAUCUCUGAAAACACUCAAUUUUAAUUACUGAAAAAUAAUCCAUCACAAUCUAUUUAACUUUUCUCCUAUUGGGCCUAUGUGCAUGUCGGUUGGCUUAAGAAAAGAAGAUCCUAACAAUUAGAGCUGGCCGGUGAUGGAAUGGCAAGAAUUACCACGUGGUCUUCUCUGCUCUGAGCCUGAUCCAGCAGAGGCUGGGUGACCAUCUGUUAGAGCUGCUGCAGAGGGAGAUCAAUUUAGACAACUUCUGAGUCUCUUUCCAACUGUAAGAUCUUAUGAAAACUUGACGGGCGGUCCUGCGGGAAAGGAGGUAGAUUUGUUCUUUGUAGCUCUGUUCACCAGAGGAACAUUUCUCAGGCUUUUCCAUCUAGAAAUCCCCAAUGUCAAAGGCAAGUGAAUAGAUACUCCUGGGAGGUCUGGG